CCGCUCUAGAGUUUGAUCCUGGCUCAGGACGAACGCUGGCGGCGUGCUUAACACAUGCAAGUCGAACGAUGAUGGCCGUGCUUGCACGGCUGGAUUAGUGGCGAACGGGUGAGUAACACGUGAGUAACCUGCCCUCCACUCUGGGAUAACCUCGGGAAAUCGGGGCUAAUACCGGAUACGAGUCCCUGCCGCAUGGUGGGGGUUGGAAAGUUUUUCGGUGGGGGAUGGACUCGCGGCCUAUCAGCUUGUUGGUGAGGUAGUGGCUCACCAAGGCGAUGACGGGUAGCCGGCCUGAGAGGGCGACCGGCCACACUGGGACUGAGACACGGCCCAGACUCCUACGGGAGGCAGCAGUGGGGAAUAUUGCACAAUGGGCGAAAGCCUGAUGCAGCGACGCCGCGUGGGGGAUGACGGCCUUCGGGUUGUAAACCUCUUUCAGCAGGGAAGAAGCGAGAGUGACGGUACCUGCAGAAGAAGCGCCGGCUAACUACGUGCCAGCAGCCGCGGUAAUACGUAGGGCGCAAGCGUUGUCCGGAAUUAUUGGGCGUAAAGAGCUUGUAGGUGGCUUGUCGCGUCUGCCGUGAAAACCCGAGGCUCAACCUCGGGCGUGCGGUGGGUACGGGCAGGCUAGAGUGUGGUAGGGGAGACUGGAACUCCUGGUGUAGCGGUGAAAUGCGCAGAUAUCAGGAAGAACACCGAUGGCGAAGGCAGGUCUCUGGGCCAUUACUGACACUGAGAAGCGAAAGCAUGGGGAGCGAACAGGAUUAGAUACCCUGGUAGUCCAUGCCGUAAACGUUGGGCACUAGGUGUGGGGAGCAUUCCACGUUCUCCGCGCCGUAGCUAACGCAUUAAGUGCCCCGC
rnacentral:rRNA from 1 species